rnacentral:rRNA from 1 species
UACGUAGGGGGCAAGCGUUGUCCGGAUUUAUUGGGCGUAAAGAGCGUGUAGGCGGCCAGGUAGGUGGGUUGUGAAAACUGGAGGCUCAACCUUCAGACGUCGACCCAAACCCCCUGGCUAGAGUCCGGAAGAGGAGAGUGGAAUUCCUGGUGUAGCGGUGAAAUGCGCAGAUAUCAGGAGGAACACCGGUGGCGAAGGCGGGUCUCUGGGCCGAUGACUGACGCUGAGGAGCGAAAGCGUGGGGAGCGAACAGG